rnacentral:rRNA from 1 species
GACGAACGCUGGCGGCGUGCUUAACACAUGCAAGUCGAACGGAAAGGCGCUGCUUUUGUGGGGUGCUCGAGUGGCGAACGGGUGAGUAACACGUGAGUAACCUGCCCUUGACUUUGGGAUAACUUCAGGAAACUGGGGCUAAUACCGGAUAGGAGCUCCUGCUGCAGGGUGGGGGUUGGAAAGGUUCGGCGGUUGGGGAUGGACGCGGGGCUUAUCAGCUUGUUGGUGGGGUAGUGGCUUACAAAGGCUUUGACGGGUAGCCGGCCUGAGAGGGUGACCGGCCACAUUGGGACUGAGGUAGGGCCCAGUCUCCUACGGGCGGCAGCAGUGGGGACUAUUGCACCAUGGGCGGAAGCCUGAUGCAGCGACGCCGCGUGCGGAAUGACGCCCUUCGGGUUAUACACCGCUUUCGCCUGUGACGAAGCGUGAGUGACGGUAAUGGGUCAAGAAGCACCGGCUAACUCCGUG